GUUGAAAUGCGCAGAUAUCAGAAGGAACACCGAUGGCGAAGGCAAGAUCUCUGGCCGUAACUGACGCGAGAGCGAAAGCGUGGGAGCGAACAGGAUUAGAUACCCUUGGUAGUCCACGCCGUAAACGUUGGGCGCUAGAUGUAGGGACCUUUCCACGGUUUCUGUGUCGUAGCUAACGCAUUAAGCGCCCCGCCUGGGGAGUACGGCCGCAAGGCUAAAACUCAAAGGAAUUGACGGGGGCCCGCACAAGCGGCGGAGCAUGCGGAUUAAUUCGAUGCAACGCGAAGAACCUUACCAAGGCUUGACAUACACCGGAAACGGCCAGAGAUGGUCGCCCCCUUGUGGUCGGUGUACAGGUGGUGCAUGGUUGUCGUCAGCUCGUGUCGUGAGAUGUUGGGUUAAGUCCCGCAACGAGCGCAACCCUCGUUCUAUGUUGCCAGCGCGUUAUGGCGGGGACUCAUAGGAGACUGCCGGGGUCAACUCGGAGGAAGGUGGGGAUGACGUCAAAUCAUCAUGCCCCUUAUGUCUUGGGCUUCACGCAUGCUACAAUGGCCGGUACAAAGGGCUGCGAUACCGUAAGGUGGAGCGAAUCCCAAAAAGCCGGUCUCAGUUCGGAUUGAGGUCUGCAACUCGACCUCAUGAAGUCGGAGUCGCUAGUAAUCGCAGAUCAGCA
rnacentral:rRNA from 1 species